rnacentral:rRNA from 1 species
UACAGAGGUGGCAAGCGUUGUUCGGAAUUACUGGGCGUAAAGGGCGCGUAGGCGGCCUUCUAAGUCAGACGUGAAAUCCCCCGGCUUAACCUGGGAACUGCGUCUGAUACUGGGAGGCUUGAGUAUGGGAGAGGGAUGUAGAAUUCCAGGUGUAGCGGUGAAAUGCGUAGAUAUCUGGAGGAAUACCGGUGGCGAAGGCGGCAUCCUGGACCAUUACUGACGCUGAGGCGCGAAAGCUAGGGGAGCAAACGGGG